rnacentral:rRNA from 1 species
UACCUGCAGCUCGAGUGGUGAUCACUAUUAUUGGGCCUAAAACGUCCGUAGCCGGUUUAAUAAAUGCCUGGGUAAAUUGUAUAGCUUAACUGUACGAAUUCCGGGUAGACUGAUAAACUUGAGACCGGGGGAAGUUAGAGGUACUCCUGGGGUAGAGGUGAAAUUCUGUAAUCCUAGGGGGACCACCGGUGGCGAAGGCGUCUGACUAAAACGGGUCUGACGGUGAGGGACGAAGCCCUGGGGCGCAAACGGGAUUAGAUACUCCGGUAGUCCAGGGUGUAAACGCUGCUUGCUUGAUGUUAGUCGGGCUUCGAGCCCGAUUAGUGUCGGAGAGAAGUUGUUAAGCAAGCUGCCUGGGAAGUACGGCCGCAAGACUGAAACUUAAAGGAAUUGGCGGGGGAGCACAGCAACGGGUGGAGCGUGCGGUUUAAUUGGAUUCAACGCCGGAAAGCUCACCGGAGGCGACGGUUACAUGAAGGCCAGGCUGAUGACCUUGCCAGAUUUUCCGAGAGGUGGUGCAUGGCCGCCGUCAGUUCGUACCGUAAGGCGUUCUGUUAAGUCAGACAACGAACGAGACCCUCAUCUUUAAUUGCUAUUGGCAAGUCCGCUUGUCAAGCACAUUAAAGAAACCGCUGGCGAUAAGUCAGAGGAAGGCGAGGGCAACGGUAGGUCAGUAUGCCCUGAAUCCUCCGGGCUACACGCGCGCUACAAAGGCUAGGACAAUGGGCUCGACACCGAAAGGUGAAGGUAAUCCCGAAACCUAGUUAAAGUUCGGAUCGAGGGUUGAAACUCACCCUCGUGAAGAUGGAAUCCGUAGUAAUCGCGUGUCAACAUCACGCGGUGAAUAUGCCCCUGCUCCU